rnacentral:rRNA from 1 species
UGUCUCAGACUAAGGCAUGCAUGUCUAAGUAUAAGUAUUAUACAGCGAAACUGCGAAUGGCUCAUUAAAACAGUAAUAGUUUAUUUGACAAUCUCACUUAUAUGGAUACCCGUAGUAAUUCUAGAGCUAAUACAUGCUGUACUCCUAACUUUUUGGAAGGGAGGUAUUUAUUAGAUAAUAACCAAUAUUCCGUAGGUCUAUCGUGGUGAAUCAUAAUAACUGAUCGAAUCGCACAGCCUUUGGCUGCGAUAAGUCAUUCAAGUUUCUGCCCCAUCAGCUUUAGAUGGUAGUGUAUUGGACUACCAUGGCGUUCACGGGUAACGGAGGAUUAGGGUUCGAUUCCGGAGAGGGAGCCUGAGAAACGGCUACCACAUCCNAGGAAGGCAGCAGCCGCGUAAAUUACCCAAUCCUGACUCANGGAGGUAGUGACAAGAAAUAACAAGCGGUGGCCUAGCCACCGAAUUGCAAUGAGCCGAAUUUACACCACUUAGUGAGGACCAAUUGGAGGGCAAGUCUGGUGCCAGCAGCCGCGGUAAUUCCAGCUCCAAUAGCGUAUAUNAAAGUUGUUGCAGUUAAAAAGCUCGUAGUUGGAUUUCUGGCGGGGACCCAAGUACCCCUGGUGGGUGUGCUCGGGCCCGGCCAUCCUUCUGUAAACUUUCGCGCGUCCUUCACCGGUCGGCAAAGGGAUCAGAUAAUUUACCUUGAGAAAAUUAGAGUGUUUCAGGCANGCUUAGCCGGAAUACAUUAGCAUGGAAUAAUGGAAUAGGACUGAGGUCUCGUUGUUGGUUACGCGGACUACAGUAAUGAUUAAUAGGGACAGUUGGGGGCAUUANUAUUUAUUAGCUAGAGGUGGAAUUCUCUAAUUUGAUAAAGACUAACUUAUGCGAAAGCAUUUGCCAAGGAUGUUUUCAUUAAUCAAGAACGAAAGUUAGGGGAUCAAAGACGAUCA